CUACGGGUGGCUGCAGUGAGGAAUAUUGCGCAAUGGGGGAAGCCCUGACGCAGCGACGCCGCGUGGAUGAUGAAGGCCUUCGGGUUGUAAAAUCCUGUCAGAUGGGAAGAACUGUUACAUGUCUAAUAUAUGUGUAACCUGACGGUACCAUCAAAGGAAGCACCGGCUAACUCCGUGCCAGCAGCCGCGGUAAUAGCGGAGGGUGCAAGCGUUGUUCGGAAUUACUGGGCGUAAAGCGCGCGUAGGCGGCUAUGUAAGUCAGAUGUGAAAGCCCAUGGCUUAACCAUGGACGUGCAUUUGAUACUGCAUGGCUUGAGUACUGGAGGGGGUGGUGGAAUUCCCGGUGUAGAGGUGAAAUUCGUAGAUAUCGGGAGGAAUACCGGUGGCGAAGGCGACCACCUGGCCAGAUACUGACGCUGAGGUGCGAAAGCGUGGGGAGCAAACAGGAUUAGAUACCCUAGUAGUC
rnacentral:rRNA from 1 species